GAGAGUAAAACAGUACGUGAAAUUGUUGAAAGGGAAACGCUUGAAGUCAGUCGUGCCGGCGUUGGAUUCAGCUUGCUUCGCGGAGCAGGCGUAUUUCCGCGCAUGGCAGGUCAGCGUCAGUUUUGCGCGGCGUGAAAAGGCUCGGGUAAGGUAGCUCUCUUCGGGGAGUGUUAUAGACCUGGGCAGAUGCGCUGCGCGGGACUGAGGAUUGCAGCGGACACCCCCUCGGGGGCGCGGCGACCGAACCCUGCUCGGCCACCCUCGUUCGAUAGCGUGCUAGCGGACGCGGGAGCGGCAGUGCACCGGAACAGGCAAGCCAGCGGUUCGCUAAGGAUGCUGACGUAAUGGCUUUAAACGA
rnacentral:rRNA from 1 species